AGUUUUGCUGGUUUGCAUUCAG
rnacentral:miRNA from 2 species